UACGAAGGGGGCUAGCGUUGCUCGGAAUGACUGGGCGUAAAGGGCGCGUAGGCGGUUUGUACAGUCAGGUGUGAAAUUCCCGGGCUCAACCUGGGGGCUGCACUUGAUACGUAUGGACUGGAGUGGGGAAGAGGGUCGUGGAAUUCCCAGUGUAGAGGUGAAAUUCGUAGAUAUUGGGAAGAACACCGGUGGCGAAGGCGGCGACCUGGUCCUUGACUGACGCUGAGGCGCGAAGGCGUGGGGAGCAAACAGG
rnacentral:rRNA from 1 species